UACGAAGGGGGCUAGCGUUGUUCGGAAUUACUGGGCGUAAAGGGCGCGUAGGCGGUCUUGUAAGUCAGAUGUGAAAGCCCGGGGCUCAACCCCGGAAUAGCAUUUGAUACUGCGAGGCUUGAGUCCGGGAGAGGAUGGCGGAAUUCCCAGUGUAGGGGUGAAAUUCGUAGAUAUUGGGAGGAACACCGGUGGCGAAGGCGGCCACCUGGACGGGUACUGACGCUGAGACGCGAAAGCGUGGGGAGCAAACAGU
rnacentral:rRNA from 1 species